rnacentral:rRNA from 1 species
UACGUAGGGCGCAAGCGUUGUCCGGAAUUAUUGGGCGUAAAGAGCUCGUAGGCGGUCUGUCGCGUCUGGUGUGAAAUCCCAUGGCUCAACUGUGGGCUUGCAUCGGGUACGGGCAGACUAGAGUGCUGUAGGGGAGACUGGAAUUCCUGGUGUAGCGGUGGAAUGCGCAGAUAUCAGGAGGAACACCUAUGGCGAAGGCAGCUCGCUGGGACGUUACUGACGCUGAGGCACGAAAGUGUGGGGAUCAAACAGG